rnacentral:rRNA from 1 species
UACGAAGGGGGCUAGCGUUGUUCGGAUUUACUGGGCGUAAAGCGCACGUAGGCGGAUCGUUAAGUCGGGGGUGAAAUCCUGGAGCUCAACUCCAGAACUGCCUUCGAUACUGGCGAUCUUGAGUCCGGAAGAGGUGAGUGGAACUCCUAGUGUAGAGGUGGAAUUCGUAGAUAUUAGGAAGAACACCAGUGGCGAAGGCGGCUCACUGGUCCGGUACUGACGCUGAGGUGCGAAAGCGUGGGGAGGCAACAGGGAUUAAGAAACCCC